rnacentral:rRNA from 1 species
GAUGAACGCUGGCGGCGUGCCUAAUACAUGCAAGUCGAGCGAACGGACGAGAAGCUUGCUUCUCUGAUGUUAGCGGCGGACGGGUGAGUAACACGUGGAUAACCUACCUAUAAUACUGGGAUAACUUCGGGAAACCGGAGCUAAUACCGGAUAAUAUUUUGAACCGCAUGGUUCAAAAGUGAAAGACGGUCUUGCUGUCACUUAUAGCUGGAUCCGCGCUGCAUUAGCUAGUUGGUAAGGUAACGGCUUACCAAGGCAACGAUGCAUAGCCGACCUGAGAGGGUGAUCGGCCACACUGGAACUGAGACACGGUCCAGACUCCUACGGGAGGCAGCAGUAGGGAAUCUUCCGCAAUGGGCGAAAGCCUGACGGAGCAACGCCGCGUGAGUGAUGAAGGUCUUCGGAUCGUAAAACUCUGUUAUUAGGGAAGAACAUAUGUGUAAGUAACUGUGCACAUCUUGACGGUACCUAAUCAGAAAGCCACGGCUAACUACGUG